rnacentral:rRNA from 1 species
UACGGAAGGCAGCAGUGGGGAAUAUUGCACAAUGGGCGAAAGCCUGAUGCAGCUAUGCCGCGUGUAUGAAGAAGGCCUUUAGGGUUGUAAAGUACUUUCAUCGGGGAGGAAAAACAAAACUAAUAAUUUUAUUUCUUGACGUUACCCGAAAAAGAAGCACCGGCUAACUCCGUGCCAGCAGCCGCGGUAAUACGGAGGGUGCUAGCGUUAAUCAGAAUUACUGGGCGUAAAGAGCACGUAGGUGGUUUUUUUAAGUCAGAUGUGAAAUCCCUGGGCUUAACCUGGAACUGCAUUUUGAAACUGAAAUACUAGAGUAUCGUAGAGGGAGGUAGAAUUCUAGGUGUAGCGGUGAAAUGCGUAGAUAUCUGGAGGAAUACCUGUGGCGAAAGCGGCCUCCUAAACGAAUACUGACACUGAGGUGCGAAAGCGUGGGGAGCAAACAGGGAUUAGAUACC